AAAAGUUCGUUUGGGUUUUUCCACACCAUCUUACAGAGAAACCUGAAUGAACUUUUGG
ensembl:miRNA